AGAACGAACGCUGGCGGCAGGCUUAACACAUGCAAGUCGAACGGUUGUAGCAAUACAGCAGUGGCAGACGGGUGAGUAACACGUGGGAACCUUCCUAGGGGUACGGAACAACUCAGGGAAACUUGAGCUAAUACCGUAUACGUCCGUGAGGAGAAAGAUUUAUCGCCCCUAGACGGGCCCGCGUAGGAUUAGGUAGUUGGUGAGGUAACGGCUCACCAAGCCUACGAUCCUUAGUUGAUCUGAGAGGAUGAUCAGCCACACUGGGACUGAGACACGGCCCAGACUCCUACGGGAGGCAGCAGUGGGGAAUCUUGGACAAUGGGCGCAAGCCUGAUCCAGCCAUGCCGCGUGAGUGAAGAAGGCCUCGGGUUGUAAAGCUCUUUACCAGGGACGAUAAUGACGGUACCUGGAGAAUAAGCCCCGGCAAACUUCGCGCCAGCAGCCGC
rnacentral:rRNA from 1 species